rnacentral:rRNA from 1 species
AGAAUCAACGCUGGCGGCGUGCCUAACACAUGCAAAUCGCACGAGAAAGGGUAGCAAUACCUGAGUAAAGUGGCGCACGGGUGAGUAACACGUGAAUUAUCUACCUCCGAGUGGGGAAUAACUGAGAGAAAUCUUAGCUAAUACCGCAUAACACUUACGAGUCAAAGCAGCAAUGCGCUUGGAGAGGAGUUCGCGGCAGAUUAGUUAGUUGGCGGGGUAAUGGCCCACCAAGACGAUGAUCUGUAUCCGGCCUGAGAGGGCGCACGGACACACUGGAACUGAAACACGGUCCAGACUCCUACGGGAGGCAGCAGUGGGGAAUUUUGCGCAAUGGGGGAAACCCUGACGCAGCAACGCCGCGUGGAGGAUGAAAUAUCUUGGUAUGUAAACUCCUUUCGAUGGGGAAGAUUAUGACGGUACCCAUAGAAGAAGCCCGGCUAACUUCGUGCCAGCAGCCGC